rnacentral:tRNA from 1 species
GUCCAGGGAUGGAAAUCGAACCCACAAUGUUCCGCUUACCGAGCAGAUGCCAUGCCCACUAGGCUACCCUGGA